AUGACACAUUGUGAUGGUGGCCAAUUGAUUCUUUACAAAUUUGAUAUUGAUGACUGUAUGUCUUAAACUCAUAAGUUAUCCAAGACAGAUCAUCAAACAUGACAAAAUCAGCCUAUGGAAAUGAGAUUUCAUAUGUGGAUGUGGGAUCAGGAGUCUGAAACUUCCAAACUGAAGAAGUGGCUGCAUUCCUACCAGCAAUGAAUGAGAGACAGACCAAGCCACCAUCAUCUCUCUCCCGGUCUGCUGCAGUAGCCCUCUACCGGUCUCCUGGUCUCCUUGUCCUGAUGCCCUUCUGCAGCCAGAACGCUUCUUUUAAAAGGCAAAAGCAAGUGUCAUUGGAUAGGUUCCUUGUUAAAGCUGCACGAACAGAACAAGAUGCCAUUGAGCCAAUAGAUAGCAGUGAUUCCAUUAGUGAUAGUGAAAAUCAUCCUACACGAUAACCCUCCUCCUCUCGUCUCCCUCAGACCACCCACGAAGGUUUUCAAAGCCUCAUUUUGACAUCCUUGAAGGCUGUAGUUCUCAAAAGGUGGUUCCUAGACCAGCAGAAUCAGCAGCAUCUGGGAACUUCAAGGCUCUACUCCAGACCUACUAAAUUAGAAACUUUGGAGGUGGAGACCAGCACUCUGUUUUAACAAGUCCUCCUGAUGACUGUCAUGAACACUGAAGUUUGAGAACUGCUCUCACCCAUUUACAGCUUGCCAAUUAAUGGAAUACCUCUGCCAAGAAAACAUGAUUCAGUUACAUUCCAUAACAUGGAUUCAGCAGCACUGUUACUUCCAUUCGCCCAAUAUUUCACUGUCGGAGAUAAAGAAUGUUGGUGAACUAUCGGGAAGGUGUCUUAAUUAAUAAAUAUUUUAUACUGAUGUUACA